UCGAGCGGGAAAGUACCCUUCGGGGUGCGAGUACAGCGGCGGACGGGUGAGUAACGCAUGGUCGACCUGCCCACGAGAUCGGGAUAGCCAUUCGAAAGGAUGGGUAAUACCGGAUAAGACCACGGCGCUUCAUGGCGCUGCGGUAAAAAGGUUGGGAUCUUCGGACCUUCCGCUCGUGGAUGGGACCAUGUCCUAUUAGCUUGUUGGUGAGGUAACGGCUCACCAAGGCGACGAUGGGUAGCCGGCCUGAGAGGGUGGACGGCCACACUGGGACUGAGACACGGCCCAGACUCCUACGGGAGGCAGCAGUGCUGAAUCAUUCGCCAACGCGCGAAAGCGUGACGGUGCGACGCCGCGUUGCGGGAUGAAGGCCUUCGGGUUGUAAACCGCUGUCAGGGCUUAGGAAACCGUAAGGGUUAAUAGCUCUUGCGCUGACCAGGCCCAAAGGAAGCAACAGGCUAACUUCGUGCCAGCAGCCGCGGUAAUACGAAGUGUGCGAGCGUUGUCCGGAAAUUACUUGGGCGUUAAAAGGGUGCGCAGGCGGCUCGGUAAGUCAGGGUGUGAAAUCCCCCGGCUCAACCGGGGGAAUUUGCCCUUGAUACUGGCCGGGUUUGAGGGGCGAAAGGGGCAAGUGGAAUUCCAGGUGUAGCGGGUGGGAAUGCGUAGAUAUUCUGGGAGAACGGCCAAGGGGAAGGGCAGCU
rnacentral:rRNA from 1 species